GUGAGGAAGCGUACAGGAGUCUGGCUGCCACUGAUAUUAUAUUAAAGGGCCGCGGUAUUUUGACCGUGCGAAGGUAGCAUAAUCAUUAGUCUUUUAAUUGGAGGCUUGUAUGAAUGGUUGGACAAAAAGUUAACUGUCUCAUUUAUAAAAAUUGAAUUUAACUUUUAAGUGAAAAGGCUUAAAUGAACUGAGGGGACGAUAAGACCCUAUAAAGCUUUACAAUAAGUUAAUUAAAUUAUAAAUUAUUAGUUUAACUUAAUUUAAUUAGUGUUUGUUUCGUUGGGGCGACGAGAAUAUAAAUUAUAUAACUGUUCUUUUAAAGUAAAUAACAAGAUUAAUUGGAGGAAGAUUGAUCCUUUAAUAAAGAUUAAAAGAUUAAGUUACUUUAGGGAUAACAGCGUAAUCUUCUUUGAGAGUCCAUAUCGACAAGAAGGGUUGCGACCUCGAUGUUGAAUUAAGGUACCCUUAUGAUGCAGCAGUUAUAAAGGGAGGUCUGUUCGACCUUUAAAUCCUUACGUGAUCUGAUUCAGACCGGA
rnacentral:rRNA from 1 species